rnacentral:rRNA from 1 species
GAUGAACGCUGGCGGCGUGCCUAAUACAUGCAAGUCGAGCGAACAGACGAGGAGCUUGCUCCUCUGACGUUAGCGGCGGACGGGUGAGUAACACGUGGAUAACCUACCUAUAAGACUGGGAUAACUUCGGGAAACCGGAGCUAAUACCGGAUAAUAUAUUGAACCGCAUGGUUCAAUAGUGAAAGACGGUUUUGCUGUCACUUAUAGAUGGAUCCGCGCCGCAUUAGCUAGUUGGUAAGGUAACGGCUUACCAAGGCGACGAUGCGUAGCCGACCUGAGAGGGUGAUCGGCCACACUGGAACUGAGACAGGGUCCAGACUCCUACGGGAGGCAGCAGUAGGGAAUCUUCGGCAAUGGGCGAAAGCCUGACGGAGCAACGCCGCGUGAGUGAUGAAGGUCUUCGGAUCGUAAAACUCUGUUAUUAGGGAAGAACAAAUGUGUAAGUAACUAUGCACGUCUUGACGGUAACUAAUCAGAAAGCCACGGCUAACUACGUG